GACGAACGCUGGCGGCGUACUUAACACAUGCAAGUCGAACGGAAAGGCCCUGCUUUUGUGGGGUGCUCGAGUGGCGAACGGGUGAGUAACACGUGAGUAACCUGCCCUUGACUUUGGGAUAACUUCAGGAAACUGGGGCUAAUACCGGAUAGGAGCUCCUGCUGCAUGGUGGGGGUUGGAAAGUUUCGGUGGUUGGGGAUGGACUCGCGGCUUAUCAGCUUGUUGGUGGGGUAGUGGCUUACCAAGGCUUUGACGGGUAGCCGGCCUGAGAGGGUGACCGGCCACAUUGGGACUGAGAUACGGACCAGACUCCUACGGGAGGCAGCAGUGGGGAAUAUUGCACAAUGGGCGGAAGCCUGAUGCAGCAACGCCGCGUGCGGGAUGACGGCCUUCGGGUUGUAAACCGCUUUCGCCUGUGACGAAGCGUGAGUGACGGUAAUGGGUAAAGAAGCACCGGCUAACUACGUG
rnacentral:rRNA from 1 species